GUAACGAGCGCAACCCUGUCCUUAGUUACCAGCACGUUAUGGUGGGCACUCUAAGGAGACUGCCGGUGCAAACCGGAGGAAGGUGGGGAUGACGUCAAGUCAUCAUGGCCCUUACGGCCUGGGCUACACACGUGCUACAAUGGUCGGUACAAAGGGUUGCCAAGCCGCGAGGUGGAGCUAAUCCCAUAAAACCGAUCGUAGUCCGGAUCGCAGUCUGCAACUCGACUGCGUGAAGUCGGAAUCGCUAGUAAUCGUGAAUCAGAAUGUCACGGUGAAUACGUUCCCGGGCCUU
rnacentral:rRNA from 1 species